rnacentral:rRNA from 1 species
UAGAGUUUGAUCCUGGCUCAAGAUGAACUCUGGCGGCGCGCCUAACACAUGCAAGUCGAACGGCACCCCUCUCCGGAGGGAAGCGAGUGGCGAACGGCUGAGUAACACGUGGAGAACCUGCCCCCUCCCCCGGGAUAGCCGCCCGAAAGGACGGGUAAUACCGGAUACCCCCGGGCGCCGCAUGGCGCCCGGGCUAAAGCCCCGACGGGAGGGGAUGGCUCCGCGGCCCAUCAGGUAGACGGCGGGGUGACGGCCCACCGUGCCGACAACGGGUAGCCGGGUUGAGAGACCGACCGGCCAGAUUGGGACUGAGACACGGCCCACACUCCUACGGGAGGCAGCAGUGGGGAAUCUUGCGCAAUGGGGGGAACCCUGACGCAGCGACGCCGCGUGCGGGACGGAGGCCUUCGGGUCGUAAACCGCUUUCAGCAGGGAAGAGUCAAGACUGUACCUGCAGAAGAAGCCCCGGCUAACUACGUGCCAGCAGCCGCGGUAAUACGUAGGGGGCGAGCGUUAUCCGGAUUCAUUGGGCGUAAAGCGCGCGUAGGCGGCCCGGCAGGCCGGGGGUCGAAGCGGGGGGCUCAACCCCCCGAAGCCCCCGGAACCUCCGCGGCUUGGGUCCGGUAGGGGAGGGUGGAACACCCGGUGUAGCGGUGGAAUGCGCAGAUAUCGGGUGGAACACCGGUGGGGAAGGCGGCCCUCUGGGCCGAGACCGACGCUGAGGCGCGAAAGCUGGGGGAG